rnacentral:rRNA from 1 species
CCUACGGGUGGCAGCAGUAGGGAAUAUUGCUCAAUGGGGGAAACCCUGAAGCAGCAACGCCGCGUGGAGGAUGAAGGUUUUCGGAUUGUAAACUCCUUUUGUUAGAGAAGAUAAUGACGGUAUCUAACGAAUAAGCACCGGCCAACGCCGUGCCAGCAGGCGUGGUAAUACGGUGGGUGCAAGCGUUACUCGGAAUCACUGGGCGUAAAGGGCGCGUAGGCGGGAUAGCAAGUCAGAUGUGAAAUCCUACGGCUUAACCAUAGAACUGCAAUUGAAACUGGUAUUCUAGAGUAUAGGAGAGGUAGGUGGAAUUCUUGGUGUAGGGGUGAAAUCCGUAGAGAUCAAGAGGAAUACUCAUUGCGAAGGCGGCCUGCUAGAACAUAACUGACGCUGAUGCGCGAAAGCGUGGGGAGCAAACAGGAUUAGAUACCCCUGUAGUC